CUACGGUAGGUUUGGUCGAUGGUCGUGUCGAUCAGCUCGUGUCGUGAGAUGUUCGGUUAAGUCCGCUAACGAGCGCAACCCUCGUCGUAUGUUAUAUGUGUCAUACGAGACUGCCGGUAAAAGCCGGAGGAAGGUGAGGAUGAUGUCAAGUCAGCAUGACCUUUAUAUCCAGGGCUACACACACGCUACAAUGGUCUGUACAAUGGGUAGCCAAGCCGCGAGGCGGAGCCAAUCCUGAAAGCAGGCCUCAGUUCAGAUUGCAGUCUGCAACUCGACUGCAUGAAGCCGGAGUUGCUAGUAACCGCAGGUCAGCAAUACUGCGGUGAAUACGUUCCCGGGUCUU
rnacentral:rRNA from 1 species